AACGAACGCUGGCGGCAGGCUUAACACAUGCAAGUCGAACGGUAACAUGAGUAGCAAUACUUGAUGACGAGUGGCGCACGGGUGCGUAACGCGUAUGCAAUCUACCUUUAACCGGUGAAUAGCCCGAAGAAAUUCGGAUUAAUACACCAUUGUAUGUUUGAGUGGCAUCACUUAAACAUUAAAGUUCCGACAGUUAAAGAUGAGCAUGCGUGACAUUAGCUAGUUGGUAAGGUAACGGCUUACCAAGGCAACGAUGUCUAGGGGAUCUGAGAGGAUUAACCCCCACACUGGUACUGAGACAGGGACCAGACUCCUACGGGAGGCAGCAGUAAGGAAUAGUGGACAAUGGUGGCAACACUGAUCCAGCCAUGCCGCGUGAAGGAUGAAGGCCCUAUGGGUUGUAAACUUCUUUUGUACGGGAAAAAACCUUCUUACGUGUAAGAAGCUGAUUGUACUGUAAGAAUAAGGAUCGGCUAACUCCGUGCCAGCCGCCGCGGUAAGAC
rnacentral:rRNA from 1 species